rnacentral:rRNA from 1 species
AAACUGAGGAUAAUACUGGAUAGGCAAUUAUUCCUGCAAUGGUUUUUUGUUUAAAUGUUUUUUCGCCUAAGGAUGGGUCUGCGGCCGAUUAGGUAGUUGGUUAGGUAAUGGCUUACCAAGCCGUUGAUCGGUACGGGUUGUGAGAGCAAGAGCCCGGAGAUGGAACCUGAGACAAGGUUCCAGGCCCUACGGGGUGCAGCAGGCGCGAAACCUCCGCAAUGUGAGAAAUCGCGACGGGGGGAUCCCAAGUGCCAUUCUUAACGGGAUGGCUUUUCAUUAGUGUAAAGAGCUUUUGGAAUAAGGGCUGGGCAAGACCGGUGCCAGCCGCCGCGGUAACACCGGCAGCUCUAGUGGUAGCAGUUUUUAUUGGGCCUAAAGCGUCCGUAGCCGGUUUAAUAAGUCUCUGGUGAAAUCCUGUAGCUUAACUGUGGGAAUUGCUGGAGAUACUAUUAGACUUGAGACCGGGAGAGGUUAGAGGUACUCCCAGGGUAGAGGUGAAAUUCUGUAAUCCUGGGAGGACCGCCUGUUGCGAAGGCGUCUAACUGGAACGGUUCUGACGGUGAGGGACGAAAGUUAGGGGCGCGAACCGGAUUAGAUACCCGGGUAGUCCUAACCGUAAACGAUGCGGACUUGGUGUUGGGGUGGCUUUGAGCUGCUCCAGUGCCGAAGGGAAGCUGUUAAGUCCGCCGCCUGGGAAGUACGGUCGCAAGACUGAAACUUAA